rnacentral:lncRNA from 1 species
CUCUAAGUGAAUACAUAUUUAACAAUAUCACCAGGAGAAUUUUUGUUUCCUUUCACUAAAGUUUGAGAAAUAGACGGGCAGUUUACCCAGUGGCAGACCACCCACUUUAGGAUUGAUCCCCAAUACCAUGAAGAAAAAAUAAAACAGUUUGAGAAGUGUUUCCUUACCAAUAUAUAGUGGUCUGUACUCCAUGAACCACAAGCCGCUGCACACUGAUGACGUCAUCUCACUCUCCAGCCGUAUUAGGCAUGCGUAUAAAUCAGCUCAGUACUCUGUUCCGUCGGUAAUGGGUAUUUAUCAAAGAUUUCAAUCACAGAAUAAUUUUGUCAGAUAUACAUCUAGGUGGCAGCCUAGCAAUGGUCGGCAAGAGGCGAAACUGAAGCCGAGGAGCGAAUUGAGAGACCGCUGUUCUUUCCGUUACAUCGCUGGUCGUCAUCAUGGAGACACAGACGAGGAGCUAUUCCAGAGCCAGCCGCAUCCCCGAAACACAUUGGACAGAUACAAAAAGCCUGGAAAGAGACCGUGCUCUCGGUGCCCAGAAGUCUGGCAGACACAGGCUUUGUCAAAAUGGUGGAGAAAAUAAACUCCAAACACACAGUGCUUUCCAGGAAAAUGCCUCACUUUUGGAAAAUCCAACUGGAAAACUUCCUGUGAAAGAAUUCAUGAGGCCAGCUGUGCACACUUAACCCAGUUAACAAGGUUGGACUGGAUUGAAAAAUUAACUGAUACUCACAUGUGGGACAGGUGGUCACUGAGGCCAGAUUGGCAGUGUGGACAACAGGGAGGGUGACUUCUGCAGACUCUUGGUUCUUAGGACGCCUCUCCUACUGUGUAGAAUAACCUGGUUUCCAAGUUGCUCUUCUCAUGUGGGGCUAUCAGCGAAGGGACCCUAACGUGAUCAUCUAAGACGUUAAAGAGAAGCAUCCACCAGAAGCACAGCCAGAAUAAUCUUCACGCUAUUUUAAAAUGCUGGAAGAUAGAAUUACAACGUUUAGUGUCAUUUUACUCUCGAAUGAAUUAAAAAUGCAAAUGCUUUUCUGUCAUGCAAAAAUAAAAGAGCUUUGACAUAACAGUGACAUAAAUGGAAACAUUUGAUGAGAUAUUUCAUGAGUUUUAAGCAAAACAGUUGUUUGGAAUCCUGGCAAAGUUACAGCACCAUGUACUUGUGCUUUGAAUAGUUAGCAAGGCCUUUAUUUUGUGUUUGAUAAUAAUUAUCAUUGUGGGCACAAGCCAGAGCCCAUUUCUUGAUUUAUACACUGACCCACACUAUGCUUUAUAUGCUUUUAUGUAAGAUAAUACAUAGCUCAACUGCAAGAAUUUAAAACAUGAGUUGCAUGAAGAUAGUAUACUAACCUUUAUUUUGUAAUUAAUAUGGUUUAUCAUGGAAAGGAAUCUCUGCAGACCUAAAUGGAAAGGGUUAUUAGCAUAUGCAAACUUAUUAAGAAACCAGUUAAGUUAGUCAUAUUCAGCAGGGGAGAAGUAU